UAAAAAUUUAAUUUAAAAUAUUUAAGUAGUAUUAGUUAAGUUCUUGAAAUUUAAAAAAUUUGGCGGUAUUUUAGUCUAUUCAGAGGAACCUGUUUUUUAAUCGAUAAUCCACGAUGAAUCUUACUUAAAUUUGUUUAGUUUAUAUAUCGUCGUUUACAGAAUAUUUUAUUAAAAUAAUAAUUUUCUUAAUUUUUAUAUAAAAGUAUAUCAGAUCAAGAUGUAGCUUAUGUUUAAGUUUAUAAUGGGUUACAAUUAAUUUAUUAUUGGAUAUGAAUUUUUAAUAGUUUAUUGAAAUUGGAUUUGAUAGUAAAUUUAUAUAGAUAGAUAAAUUGAUUUUAGCUCUAAAAUAUG
rnacentral:rRNA from 1 species